rnacentral:tRNA from 2 species
ACUCCGGCAGCUCAAGUGGUAGAGCAGCGGUCUCCAAAACCGCAGGUUGCAGGUUCGAGCCCUGCCUGGAGUGCCA